rnacentral:rRNA from 1 species
UACAGAGGGGGCAAGCGUUGUUCGGAAUUACUGGGCGUAAAGGGCGCGUAGGCGGCCUGUUAAGUCGAACGUGAAAUCCCCGGGCUCAACCCGGGAACUGCGUCCGAUACUGGCAGGCUUGAAUCCGGGAGAGGGAUGCGGAAUUCCAGGUGUAGCGGUGAAAUGCGUAGAUAUCUGGAGGAACACCGGUGGCGAAGGCAGGUCUCUGGGCCGCAACUGACGCUGAGGAGCGAAAGCU